UUUUAUGGAGAGUUUGAUCCUGGCUCAGAGUGAACGCUGGCGGCGUGCCUAAUACAUGCAAGUCGAACGAUGAAGCUUCUA
rnacentral:rRNA from 2 species